rnacentral:rRNA from 1 species
CCAGACUCCUACGGGAGGCAGCAGUGGGGAAUAUUGGGCAAUGGGCGCAAGCCUGACCCAGCAACGCCGCGUGAAGGAAGAAGGCUUUCGGGUUGUAAACUUCUUUUCUCAGGGACGAAGAAAGUGACGGUACCUGAGGAAUAAGCCACGGCUAACUCCGUGCCAGCAGCCGCGGUAAUACGGAGGGUGCAAGCGUUGUCCAGAUUUAUUGGGUUUAAAGGGUGCGCAGGCGGCACGGCAAGCCGGCGGUCAAAUCGCGGGGCUCAACCCCGCCCAGCCGUCGGAACUGCCGGGCUAGAGUGGGCGAGAAGUGCGCGGAAUGCGUGGUGUAGCGGUGAAAUGCAUAGAUAUCACGCAGAACUCCGAUUGCGAAGGCAUCUGACGAAUCGGAGAUUGACGCUGAUGCACGAAAGCGUGGGUAUCGAACAGGAUUAGAUACCCGGGUAAG